rnacentral:rRNA from 1 species
GACGAACGCUGGCGGCGUGCUUAACACAUGCAAGUCGAACGGAAAGGCCCUGCUUUUGUGGGGUGCUCGAGUGGCGAACGGGUGAGUAACACGUGAGUAACCUGCCCUUGACUUUGGGAUAACUUCAGGAAACUGGGGCUAAUACCGGAUAGGAGCUCCUGCUGCAUGGUGGGGGUUGGAAAGUUUCGGCGGUUGGGGAUGGACUCGCGGCUUACCAGCUUGUUGGUGGGGGAGUGGCUUACCAAGGCUUUGACGGGUAGCCGGCCUGAGAGGGUGACCGGCCACAUUGGGACUGAGAUACGGCCCAGUCUCCUACGGGAGGCAGCAGUGGGGAGUAUUGCACAAUGGGCGGAAGCCUGAUGCAGCAGCGCCGCGUGCGGGAUGACGGCCUUCGGGUUGUAAACCGCUUUCGCCUGUGACGAAGCGUGAGUGACGGUAAUGGGUAAAGAAGCACCGGCUAACUACGUG